UACGAAGGGGGCUAGCGUUGCUCGGAAUCACUGGGCGUAAAGGGUGCGUAGGCGGGUCUUUAAGUCAGGGGUGAAAUCCUGGAGCUCAACUCCAGAACUGCCUUUGAUACUGAGGAUCUUGAGUUCGGGAGAGGUGAGUGGAACUGCGAGUGUAGAGGUGAAAUUCGUAGAUAUUCGCAAGAACACCAGUGGCGAAGGCGGCUCACUGGCCCGAGUACUGACGCUGAGGCACGAAAGCGUGGGGAGCAACAGG
rnacentral:rRNA from 1 species